UUAGGGGCUCCAUACCAAGGCAAUAACAGCAGAAAACAAUCCUUUUUUGGUGUUUUAUUUUAGGUAGUUAAAGGGUUAACUCCGACUCAACAAGUUCAUCAGGGUCAAUGUUAGUCACUAAAGAACCUGGAAACAUCGACACGCACACACUCCUUUCACAAACCUUCUUUUGGGGACAGAGAACUCCCCCUCCCACCAUCAUCUACUGAAUGUGGUGAAGGGAGGAGGACAUAUUGUUAUUUCACUGAUCACAUUUUGGAUCCAUAGUGGCGUGGGGCUGCAGGUCAGCUCCACUCAGUUCUGCUGAACAGGAACCAGCUCCUAAAUCUGUGCCAGCAGCGUCACUUCCAGCUUCUCCUCUGCUCUUUGUGCUGUCAUGUCAACGGAAACCUUUGUGACUCCCAGCAAGUCAUUGACCUGAAAGACUCGCUUUCCCCGCUGUUCCUCACUGAACUGCGUCCCUUCAUGAGAGCCGGAUGGAGGAGCGAUGGCGUCGUCAUGAGAAGAGCGGGGAACUUUCUAAAUAAACUGGAUUUGACGAUCACAAGCAAACCAGUUUAAAGAGCAAAGAGGAGAUUUCAGAAGAAAACAAACGCAGUGUCUGCAGGGAUGUUAACAUAGGAUCUGCUGCUGGAGGUUUCACAAAUCUGGAGGAUUUCUUUGUUUCCUGAUUCACAGUUUUGUGAAAAUUCACAAGAAAUCCACGAGCAAGAAGGAGGAUUCAGACUGAGAUGUUUGUUGAAGCAGCUGCAUCUGAGAGCAGAGACCCAGUUUCCAGCAGAUCUGAGCGGGAGCUGCAGCUUUUUCCACCAGAGAGGUCAAACAAACCCCCAGAAAAGAGGAAUAACAAAGAACUGCAGGAUCUUUCAUAUGCGGGCCUGCAGUCGGAACAGUCCAUCUCUGCGUGACACCAGAUCUAAUGUCGUCUGAGUUUGAAAGCAGCAGCUGACGCUGACGGAGCUGCUCUGCUGGCUGAUGUGAGGAGCCCGGAGAACAGGUUUCAUCUGGAUUUCUGGACCCGUCUCGUUGUUUUUUCAAUGUCAAACGUAUUUUUGCAGCACAUCUGAAAGCAGAUCAAAGUCAAACCUCAAACAGCUUUCCCACAGAAAUACAAACAAAUGCAAUCAAAAGAAGAAUGUUUCUAACAUUUCAAAAUAUGAUUUCAUUUAGAUCAAAUGCAGCAAAAAUAUAGUGAUAUCAAAAUGUAUAAAAAUUUAUCUAAAAAUUAUUGUAAUUAUAAAUAUUAAUUAAUAUCAAUAAAAUAAUCUAAGAGGAAUUCUUACGAAAUAAAAAAAAGAAAAAUAAUUUAAAAAACACUAAAAAUGUGUUUUAAAUGACCAUGUAAUAAUUUUAAAUAAUAAUAGAGGGCUGAUGAGUGUUUCUGUACAUUCACACGCUCACACAAAUGCAUGAAGGCUAUAAAAAUACAAGUCUAUAAAUAUAAAUAUAAAAUAAAACUGUUCAAGUAAAAAAAAAAAAAA